rnacentral:rRNA from 1 species
UACGUAGGGGGCAAGCGUUGUUCGGAAUUACUGGGCGUAAAGGGCGCGUAGGCGGCGCGGUAAGUCGGGAGUGAAAGCCCGGGGCUCAACCCCGGAACGUCUUUCGAAACUGCCGAGCUAGAGUGCGGAAGAGGCAACUGGAAUUCCCAGUGUAGCGGUGAAAUGCGCAGAUAUCAGGAAGAACACCCGUGGCGAAGGCGGCUCUCUGGGACGGUACUGACGCUGAGACGCGAAAGCGUGGGGAGCGAACAGG